GACGAACGCUGGCGGCGUGCUUAACACAUGCAAGUCGAACGGAGAGGCCCUGCUUUUGUGGGGUGCUCGAGUGGCGAACGGGUGAGUAACACGUGAGUAACCUGCCCUUGACUUUGGGAUAACUUCAGGAAACUGGGGCUAAUACCGGAUAGGAGCUCCUGCUGCAUGGUGGGGGUUGGAAAGUUUCGGCGGUUGGGGAUGGGCUCGCGGCUUAUCAGCUUGUUGGUGGGGUAGUGGCUUACCAAGGCUUUGACGGGUAGCCGGCCUGAGAGGGUGACCGGCCACAUUGGGACUGAGAUACGGCCCAGACUCCUACGGGAGGCAGCAGUGGGGAAUAUUGCACAAUGGGCGGAAGCCUGAUGCAGCAACGCCGCGUGCGGGAUGACGGCCUUCGGGUUGUAAACCGCUUUCGCCUGUGACGAAGCGUGAGUGACGGUAAUGGGUAAAGAAGCACCGGCUAACUACGUG
rnacentral:rRNA from 1 species